UACAGAGGUCUCAACCGUUGUUCGGAUUCAUUGGGCGUAAAGGGUGCGUAGGCGGUCGGGUAAGUCGGAUGUGAAAUCUCAGGGCUCAACCCUGAAACUGCAUUCGAUACUGCCUGGCUAGGGUACUGGAGAGGAGACUGGAAUUUACGGUGUAGCAGUGAAAUGCGUAGAUAUCGUAAGGAAGACCAGUGGCGAAGGCGAGUCUCUGGACAGUUACCGACGCUGAGGCACGACGGCCAGGGGAGCAAACGGG
rnacentral:rRNA from 1 species